GCUACAUCUGGCAACACUGCGUGGCGCAAUCCAUUCAAAUAGAUGUAACGUUUAGCGGCUCAUGACCAGACCAGUCGCUUUUUUUUCCCACGAUCGCCGGGAUUUUUACAACAUUUUAAAGCAGUUUCAGCUCAAAAUGGACCCACUACCAGUUUGUGAGCUGAUAUGCAGUGGAAAUUGACAUCCAGAAGGAAGUCAUAAAAAAAACACCAGCUGAUACAAGUGAAACAAAUGCUGCAGAGGAUCUUUGCAGAAUUCACUCUAAUAUUAGGAAGAAAUUUAAGAUCCGAGUUCAACGCUGAAUUGGACACACACUGCUCGUUUGAAAUUUUCAGAGAGAAAAAAGAAAACUAGAUGAGAUUUUGCAACAAGUUUAUUCAAAGUCAUCUGAUGUAAUGCUUGUCCGCACAGCAGUUCUUCCGGGUCUUUCAGUCCUUUUGAGGGAUGAGUCUAAAGAUUGUUUCUGGAUGUGUUUUGAUGUGGAUGUAGAGUCUGACUUCAGUGCAGUAGAUGUUGGCCUGCUGAUUGUCUUGUGUGAAGAUAUCUAAAGGACCUCAAUGUGGAUGCAAUGUGGGCCAUUAUACUGGAAGGAAAAGUGGUUAUGGAUGAUGUCCCUACUUUGCCACACGCAGUAGGUCUGCUUUUUUGCUUUGAUUUACGCACUGAAUUCGGACUUCCCAAAGACUACAAGCAAUGUAUUUACUCAACGUGUGUUGCUUUAGCUGGGAGGGAAGCUUAAUGUGUUUUUUUUUUUUUUUUCUGCGAGAGCCUAUA